CUAGCUGGGAAGAGGGGUAUGGUUACCACAGCGCCCCUCCUCUCCCAGCUCUAUGGAUUUCACAGAAGGGAAUGCACUCCCUUUCAGGGGGCAUAGGCACAGGACCCUCAGAUGGGGCGUGCCCUUACAGUGCCCCGCCUCUCAGUCCCGUAGCGUCCUGCCCAUCAGUCCUUCGAAAACCCUGAAGGUGCCAUGCUUGAGGUUCGUCCUGGAGGAGCCUCACGGAGCGGGUGUCCGAAAGUGGAGCGUGGCCAAGACUGCAGAGAAGGGAGUCGGACGUGUAGGGUUUCUCUGUGUAGUUUUGGUGCCUUUCCAGGAUCUCACUCUGCUGACCAGAUCUGCCUGGCUCUGCCUCCCAAGGGCUGGAAUUAAAGGCGCACACAACCACUGCCAGGCUCCUCCUUUGGUUUUAUGCAGCCCCUACUUUGACUUGUAUCUGUCUCCUGCCCUGCAAUUCUGGGGAUGGAACUUCGAUCCUUGUGCAUGCAUGCUUGGGCCACCAUGUGCACUAUGUGAUGCUGUAGUGUCCCCGGCUUGCAUCAUCAUGUGUGUGGUGACCAAAGAUGAUGACAGGUGGUAUCAUGUGCAGUGGGCCACAUGGAAUGGACCCAACAUGAGAGUAGAUGGUGUGUGAGAAAAUCUGGCUGCAGUCCCUGCUGACCUCUGUGGGGGGCAUCUGCAGGAGCCAGGGGAAGGGUGGGAGACUCUGGUUGCUAGAUACUGCUGGCUGCUGGGUGGUAGAAGGGAUCACCCAUGAGGGACCAGGGCAUGUGGGCCAGCUGAGGAAGC